ACUCUGCUUCGGGGUCCGACUAAUCCAUGCGAGUCAUGGGGCUCCCUUUUGGGAGCACCGGCGAACGGCUCAGCAACACGUGGCUAACCUACCCUCGGGUGGGGGAUAACCUCGGGAAACUGAGGCUAAUCCCCCAUAGGGGAGGAGGUCUGGAAUGAUCCCUCCCCGAAAGGCAGUAAGCCGCCCGAGGAUGGGGCUGCGGCGGAUUAGGUAGUUGGUGGGGUAAUGGCCCACCAAGCCUACGAUCCGUACGGGCCCUGAGAGGGGGAGCCCGGAGAUGGACACUGAGACACGGGUCCAGGCCCUACGGGGCGCAGCAGGCGCGAAACCUCCGCAAUGCGCGAAAGCGCGACGGGGGGACCCCGAGUGCCCUGCCUCUGGCAGGGCUUUUCCGGAGUGUAAACAGCUCCGGGAAUAAGGGCUGGGCAAGUCCGGUGCCAGCAGCCGCGGUAAUACCGGCGGCCCAAGUGGUGGCCACUGUUAUUGGGCCUAAAGCGUCCGUAGCCGGCCCGGUAAGUCUCUGCUUAAAUCCCGCGGCUUAACCGCGGGGCUGGCAGAGAUACUGCCGGGCUUGGGACCGGGAGAGGCCGGGGGUACCCCAGGGGUAGCGGUGAAAUGCGUUGAUCCCUG
rnacentral:rRNA from 1 species